UACAGAGGAUGCAAGCGUUAUCCGGAAUUAUUGGGCGUAAAGCGUCUGUAGGUGGCUUUUUAAGUCCGCCGUCAAAUCACAGGGCUCAACUCUGGACAGGCGGUGGAAACUACCAAGCUGGAGUACGGUAGGGGCAGAGGGAAUUUCCGGUGUAGCGGUGAAAUGCGCAGAUAUCAGGAGGAACACCGGUGGCGAAGGCGCACAUCUGGCCCGAUACUGACGCUGAGGCGCGAAAGCUAGGGGAGCAAACGGG
rnacentral:rRNA from 1 species